rnacentral:rRNA from 1 species
CAGCAGCCGCGGUAAUACAGAGGGUGCGAGCGUUAAUCGGAUUUACUGGGCGUAAAGCGUGCGUAGGCGGCUUCUUAAGUCGGAUGUGAAAUCCCUGAGCUUAACUUAGGAAUUGCAUUCGAUACUGGGAAGCUAGAGUAUGGGAGAGGAUGGUAGAAUUCCAGGUGUAGCGGUGAAAUGCGUAGAGAUCUGGAGGAAUACCGAUGGCGAAGGCAGCCAUCUGGCCUAAUACUGACGCUGAGGUACGAAAGCAUGGGGAGCAAACAGGAUUAGAGACCUCCGUAGUCCCUGUCUCUUAUAC